CCGCCGGCGACCGGCGCACGGGUGAGUAACACGUAUGCAACCUGGCCGUGACAGAUGGAUAACCGGGAGAAAUCCCGCCUAAUACAACAUAAUGCCGGGAGGGGACAUCCCCUGCCGGCCAAAGGGGGCGACCCCGGUCACGGAUGGGCAUGCGGCGCAUUAGGUAGUUGGUGGGGCAACGGCCCACCAAGCCGACGAUGCGUAGGGGUUCUGAGAGGAAGGUCCCCCACAUUGGAACUGAGACACGGUCCAAACUCUUACGGAAGGCAGCAG
rnacentral:rRNA from 1 species